GCAACAAUGUAUGAUACCAAUCUAAAGUACAUUGUUAACUCGUGACAGGGAAUCCGAUAAUGUUUUAUGUGAAAAAAUGAAAAAAAGAAAGAGUUUUUAAGUAAACACUUGCAUAUAUUCUUAACACAAUCAUACGAUGGAGCUGUAUGUUAGAAUGUUAGAAUGUUGUUCAUUUAUUCUUUUAUGUACUGACUUAAACCGGCUUUAUGUUCAUCGAAUUGCAAAAUAAACGAAACAGAGAAUGAAAACCGUACGAUGAUAACGGCAAACUGUAGUAACAUGGGACUAAUACAUGUUCCUCGAAGUUUACCGCGAAACAUUAAUGCACUGGAUCUUAGUAGGAACGACAUAAAAGGCGUUACAAACGAUGCAUUCGACAAUUACCAAAGCUUAUUGGAACUUAAUCUGAACUCAAACAAAAUUAAUCAUAUAUCAAACUCGUCAUUAAAUGGAUUAGGAAAUCUUCAAUCGCUAAAAAUGGCUGACAAUUUUCUUAAUCUGUCUGAUGUGUAUACAAUGGAUCUGUUUGUGCCUUUAAAUAAAUUAAAUAUUCUAAACAUCAUGAGAAACAUGGAUCAGCCGACUAACCUUUUCCGCCAUUUUUACGUAUCCAGAAAAGGCAUUGGGUGUUUUACAUCAAUUGACAAACUUAUCGAUUGACUUAAUGCCAAAACCAAAGUUCGGACAAGGAUUUAAACAAUUAAAAAGUCUCAAGAGGAUAGAAUUCCUGUCGUGUUUUGUUGUAAGCCUUAGCCAUGAAACAUUUAAGUUUUUCUCGUUUAGUGUUGAAACCCUUAUAAUGCAAAAUUGUAGAUUGCAUUUUGUUUGUGCUAAAACUGGUACUUUAUUGCCAUUUUCAGAGAGUAUUCUGACACAUUUAUGCAUUUAAAGCAGGCACUGUUAUUGCUUAAUCCAUACACCAAUAAAAGCAUGAUAAUUUAUAAUUUUCAUCAUGUGAGCGACGUUGUCAUUGACAACAAAGGCUUUCCUUAUUUUGUUAUUUUAACAACUGAGAUGACAAAGUAUUUACGGACUAUUUGUGUUGAAAACUUGGAUUUGUCACAAAAUGGUAUUGUUGAUUAUGAACCUGGAUCUUUAUUUACAUUUCGUUAUCCUGAAUGUAUACAGCAUCUGUCGAUAAGGGGG
rnacentral:lncRNA from 1 species